rnacentral:rRNA from 1 species
AUGGCGCCGCUGGUCGACGACGUCACCGCCGAGAUCCUCCUCCGCCUCCCGCCGGACGAGCCCGAGCACCUCUUCCGCGCCGCCCUCGUCUGCAAGCCCUGGCUCCGCGUUCUCUGCGACCCCGGAUUCCGCCGCCGGUACCGCACCUUCCACGGCACCCCUCCACUUCUAGGCCUCCUCCACAGGCUCCAGGUCAUCCAAGGAGACCCCGCCCCCCGGCUCGCCCCCACCACGUCGGCGCCCCUCUCUCCCUACCCCGACUGCGACCGCUCGCGGGCGCUCGACUGCGGGCACGGCCGCGUCCUCCUCCACGUGUGGGUCAGGGGCAGGGGUUGGCAUCUCACCGUCUGGGACCCCGUCACCGGCGACCAGCAGAGCCUCCCGGAGCCUGGCAUCCCGUGGCUGAUCUACUCCGCCGCCGUGUUCUGCCCUGUAGCCGGCUGUGACCACCUUGACUGCCACGGCGGCCCCUUCCGGGUUGUCUUUGUGGCCACCGACGACUACGACGAGCUAGUCAAGGCGGCAGUGUACUCAUCAGAGACAGCUGCGUGGAGCACGCCAGUGACACUUGACGAUGGUUGUGAAUCCUAUGUUCGGCAUAGGCGAGACGUUCUUGCUGCUGAUGGAUCAUUCUACUAUAUCCCCUAUGUCGAGCCUAGGCGGGGUGCCGUUAUUGGAGAUGAAACCUACUUCACACUUCGGGAGGGUAACACAAUCAUCAGAUAUGACUGGGCCAAGAAUUGCAUAUCCAUGGUUGAUCCGCCGGACCCGAAUGUGUAUGACGACAUUGCCCUCAUGGUGAUGGAGGACAGUUCACUGGGGUUUCCCUGCCUUGAGAAUUCCAGCCUUUAUCUGUUCUCAAGGAAGGUGAAUGCAGAAUGGGUGUGCUGCAGGGCCAUCAAGCUGGAGACAGUUAUACCUGUUGCCGAUCCUGAUGAGGAACCAGUCGUUGUCGGAUGUGCAGAGGGUGUGGGUGUCAUAUUCGUGAGCACACAUGUUGGCUUAUUCACAAUCAAGCUAAAUUCUGGGCUGGUUAAGAAGGUCGCCGAGUCCGGGAAGUACUUCAGCGUCUUACCCUACAUGAGCUUCUACACUCCAGACCAUGGUAGAUUUUCAUCGCUAGCGAGACUCACUGAUGUCUGA